CAGACAGCUGUGGUACAGAGAAAGAAGGGAGAGAGUUCUGUACAGGAGGCUUUUGUUUUGUAGCCCCUGAUCUCCAUAUGGGAUUCUCUUGGAAUCUUGGAGCUGUUUGGCCUGUUGAGUCAGAGAGAAGAAAUACUCUGGAAUUUACUUGUCUGAUAAAUUUUCUCUGAACUGAACACUUCUUCCUGGAAGACAAAGGAAAGCUCAUAAGGCUCAGGAACGUCAUGAAAUUUACAAGACCCAUAAAGCUCAGAAAGGCACAAGACUUUAAGGCUUCUCCUCAAUGUUUUAUACCGAGUAAUCAGCUGCUGGGGAAGAAAAGACUUUGCAGUGGCAAUUCCUGCUAUACAAACAAGGGAAUUCCAUGUCAUAUAUGCUGAGGUAGGGAUAUUUGGUGAUGUGGCUGUAUUAUAUAUAUAUAUAUAUAUAUAUAUAUAUAUAUAUAUAUUCACACGCACACAUAUAUACAUGUACUGUGAGGAGCAGGUGUGGCAAUAGUCCCAAGAUGGCGCCCGGGACUGCAGCCAAGUCUUAUGACUUGCACCUAGAACUUCCUCAUACACCCGAAAAUAAGCCAUGUCCAUCGUGAGAGCUGCGCAGGCACACCAUGACACAAGAUCAGGCCAUUUGACGAAGGCCAAUGAACUGAGAUUGCGCGGACUGGGCUGAUGGGGCGUGGCUGAGGGGUGAUAUAAGGGAUUGCGAUUGGGGACUAGGGGAGAUUCCUGCUUGCAUGUUGAAAGGUUCCUGAAUAAACUGCUUUGAGAAGAA
rnacentral:lncRNA from 1 species